AACGAACGCUGGCGGCAGGCUUAACACAUGCAAGUCGAGCGCCCCGCAAGGGGAGCGGCAGACGGGUGAGUAACGCGUGGGAAUCUACCCAACCCUACGGAAUAACGCAUGGAAACGUGUGCUAAUACCGUAUACGCCCUACGGGGGAAAGAUUUAUCGGGGAUGGAUGAGCCCGCGUUGGAUUAGCUAGUUGGUGGGGUAAAGGCCUACCAAGGCGACGAUCCAUAGCUGGUCUGAGAGGAUGAUCAGCCACAUUGGGACUGAGACACGGCCCAAACUCCUACGGGAGGCAGCAGUGGGGAAUAUUGAACAAUGGGCGCAAGCCCGAUCCAGCCAUGCCGCGUGAGUGAUGAAGGCCCUAGGGUUGUAAAGCUCUUUCACCGAUGAAGAUAAUGACGGUAGUCGGAGAAGAAGCCCCGGCUAACUUCGUGCCAGCCGCCGCAGUAAAAC
rnacentral:rRNA from 1 species